rnacentral:rRNA from 1 species
CAAUAAGCGGAGGAAAAGAAACUAACAAGGAUUCCCCUAGUAACUGCGAGUGAAGCGGGAAAAGCUCAAAUUUAAAAUCUGGUAGCCUUCGGUUGCCCGAGUUGUAGUCUGGAGAAGCGUCUUCCGCGCUGGACCGUGUACAAGUCUCUUGGAACAGAGCGUCAUAGAGGGUGAGAAUCCCGUCUUUGACACGGACUACCAGUGCUUUGUGAUGCGCUCUCAAAGAGUCGAGUUGUUUGGGAAUGCAGCUCAAAAUGGGUGGUAAAUUCCAUCUAAAGCUAAAUAUUGGCGAGAGACCGAUAGCGAACAAGUACCGUGAGGGAAAGAUGAAAAGCACUUUGGAAAGAGAGUUAAACAGUACGUGAAAUUGCUGAAAGGGAAACGAUUGAAGUCAGUCGCGUCUUCUAGUACUCAGCCUUCCUUUUGGUUGGUGCAUUUACUAGUCGACGGGCCAGCAUCAGUUUUGGCUGCGGGAUAAAGGUCAGAGGAAUGUGGCACCUUCGGGUGUGUUAUAGCCUCUGGUCAUAUACCGUGGCUGGGACUGAGGAUCUCAGCACGCCUUUAUGGCGGGGGUUCGCCCACCUUCGUGCUUCGGAUGCUGGCGUAAUGGCUUUAAACGACCCGUCUUGAAACACGGACCAAGGAGUCUAACAUGCCUGCGAGUGUUUGGGUGGAAAACCCGAGCGCGUAAUGAAAGUGAAAGUUGGGAUCUCUGUCGUGGAGAGCACCGACGCCCGGACCAGACCUUCUGUGACGGAUCCGCGGUAGAGCAUGUAUGUUGGGACCCGAAAGAUGGUGAACUAUGCCUGAAUAGGGUGAAGCCAGAGGAAACUCUGGUGGAGGCUCGUAGCGAUUCUGACGUGCAAAUCGAUCGUCAAAUUUGGGUAUAGGGGCGAAAGACUAAUCGAACCAUCUAGUAGCU